UUAUGAUGAAACUUAAACAAUAGCUGGAAUUACCGGCAGACUGUUAAGUGUUGAUCAAUCGUUUCCUGAAC